rnacentral:rRNA from 1 species
GCAUAUCAUAAGCGAGAAAAGAAACCAACAGGGAUUGCCCUAGUAACGGCGAGUGAAGCGGCAAUAGCUCAGAUUUGAAAUCUGGCGUCUUCGGCGUCCGAGUUGUAAUCUGUAGAGGGAUGCCUUUGGGUAGCCACCCGGUCUAAGUCCCCUGGAACGGGGCGUCACAGAGGGUGAGAAUCCCGUAUGUGACCGGAAGGGCACCCUCCACAAGGCUCCUUCGACGAGUCGAGUUGUUUGGGAAUGCAGCUCUAAAUGGGAGGUAAAUUCCUUCUAAAGCUAAAUACCGGCCAGAGACCGAUAGCGCACAAGUAGAGUGAUCGAAAGAUGAAAAGCACUUUGGAAAGAGAGUUAAAAAGCACGUGAAAUUGUUGAAAGGGAAGCGCUUGCAACCAGACUUGUUGGCGGUGUUCCGCCGGUCUUCUGACCGGUCCACUCACCGUCUGCAGGCCAGCAUCAUCUGGGGCCGCCGGAUAAAAGCGAGGGGAACGUGGCUCCCUCGGGAGUGUUAUAGCCCCUCGUGCAAUACGGCGAGCCUCGGGUGAGGUCCGCGCUUCGGCUAGGAUGCUGGCGUAAUGGUCGUAAGCGGCCCGUCUUGAAACACGGACCAAGGAGUCUAACAUCUAUGCGAGUGUUCGGGUGUCAAACCCCUACGCGUAAUGAAAGUGAACGGAGGUGGGAGCCUUAGGGUGCACCAUCGACCGAUCCUGAUGUCUUCGGAUGGAUUUGAGUAAGAGCAUAGCUGUUGGGACCCGAAAGAUGGUGAACUAUGCCUGGAUAGGGUGAAGCCAGAGGAAACUCUGGUGGAGGCUCGCAGCGGUUCUGACGUGCAAAUCGAUCGUCAAAUUUGGGUAUAGGGGCGAAAGACUAAUCGAACUCAUCUAGUAGCUGGGUCUGCGAG